UGAAANCCCACGGCUCANCCGUGGAGGGUCAUUGGAAACUGGGAGACUUGAGUGCAGAAGAGGAGAGNGGAAUUCCNNGUGUAGCGGUGAAAUGCGUAGAUAUAUGGAGNNACACCAGUGGCGAAGGCGACUCUCUGGUCUGUAACUGACGCUGAGGCGCGAAAGCGUGGGGAGCAAACAGGAUUAGAUACCCUGGUAGUCCACGCCGUAAACGAUGAGUGCUAGGUGUUAGGGGUUUCGAUGCCCUUAGUGCCGAAGUUAACACAUUAAGCACUCCGCCUGGGGAGUACGACCGCAAGGUUGAAACUCAAAGGAAUUGACGGGGGCCCGCACAAGCAGUGGAGCAUGUGGUUUAAUUCGAAGCAACGCGAAGAACCUUACCAGGUCUUGACAUCCUUUGACAACCCUAGAGAUAGGGCUUUCCCCUUCGGGGGACAAAGUGACAGGUGGUGCAUGGUUGUCGUCAGCUCGUGUCGUGAGAUGUUGGGUUAAGUCCCGCAACGAGCGCAACCCUUGAUCUUAGUUGCCAGCAUUCAGUUGGGCACUCUAAGGUGACUGCCGGUGACAAACCGGAGGAAGGUGGGGAUGACGUCAAAUCAUCAUGCCCCUUAUGACCUGGGCUACACACGUGCUACAAUGGAUGGUACAAAGGGCAGCAAAACCGCGAGGUUGAGCCAAUCCCAUAAAGCCAUUCUCAGUUCGGAUUGCAGGCUGCAACUCGCCUACAUGAAGCCGGAAUUGCUAGUAAUCGCGGAUCAGCAUGCCGCGGUGAAUACGUUCCCGGGCCUUGUACACACCGCCCGUCACACCACGAGAGUUUGUAACACCCGAAGUCGGUGGGGUAACCUUUAUGGAGCCAGCCGCCUAAGGUGGGACAGAUGAUUGGGGUGAAGUCGUAACAAGGUAGCCGUAUCGGAAGGUGCGGCUGGAUCACCUCCUUAAUCGAAUUCC
rnacentral:rRNA from 1 species